rnacentral:piRNA from 1 species
UCCUUUUCAGACGACAGCCAAUUAGGAC